CGAGUUUGUUCCUCGGCUCGGUACUGGUGACUCACCGCAGCAUCAAGUUCGUCGCUCCAGCCCAGCGCCCGGACCAGCAGCUUGUGUUCGUCAUCGGAGCCUCCCACCUGUGGUCCAUGGUGGACGGUUUCG